rnacentral:rRNA from 1 species
GGAGGGAAUAACUACUAAGAAGUAGNGACUAAACCGCAUAAGCGCACAGCUUCGCAUGAAGNGGUGUGAAAAACUCUGGUGGUAUACGAUGGUUCCGCGUCUGAUUAGCUUGUUGGCGGGGUAAUGGCUCACCAAGGCGACGAUCAGUAGCCGGCCUGAGAGGGUGAACGGCCACAUUGGGACUGAGACACGGCCCAAACUCCUACGGAAGGCAGCAG